AUUGAACGCUGGCGGCAGGCCUAACACAUGCAAGUCGAACGAGUGGCGGAAGGGUGAGGAAUGUCUGGGAAACUGCCUGAUGGAGGGGGAUAACUACUGGAAACGGUAGCUAAUACCGCAUACCAUCGGAUGUGCCCAGAUGGGAUUCGCUAGUAGGUGGGGUAAAGGCGCACCUAGGCGACGAUCCCUAUCUGGGCUGAGAGGAUGAACACCCACACUGCAACUGAGACACGUUCCAGAUUCCUACGGGUGGCAGCAGUGGUGAAUCUUGCACAAUGGGCGCAAGCCUGAUGCAGCCAUGCCGCGUGUAUGAAGAAGGCCUUCGGGUUGUAAAGUACUUUCAUCGGGGAGGCGUUACCCGCAGAAGAAGCACCGGCUAACUCCGUGCCAGCAGCCGCGGUAAUUC
rnacentral:rRNA from 1 species